UGGGAGUAGGAGAAGGGAAAAACCCCAAUCAGGGCUCAGCCUUAAGACAGUUUCUGUUUUGGAGACAGAGUUUUGCCAGGUGGCCCAGUCAGGAGCUGCCCUUGAGGCAAUCCUCCUGCUUCAGCCUCUGGGGAGAGUUGUUACAAGGGUGCAUCCUGAGGCCUGGAGUAAAACUCUUGAAUUUUCCUCAAGACUUGGCCACUGCUUUGUCUAAAGUGUGUUCACCAUGGUUUCAAAAGCCAGCUCCCUCCGCAUCCCAGGUACUGAUGAAAACAAGCCAUUUAAAGAAUGAGGAUUUUACUAAGUUGCCCAGAAUGGCCCUGAAGUUACCUUUAAAAACAAAGGUAAGUAGAGGUAGAGGUCAGUGGGCAGGCUCCAGUGCCAGCCAUUGCGUUCCACUGUAUUUGAAGCAUGGCCUCUUGUCCACUGCUACCAUCCCAUCUCCACCUUCACUCUCCACAGCUGCACUGGGGAUACGAAUGUCUGCUGCCAUGUCCAACCUUACAAGGGCCCUGGGAUCUGACCUCAGGUCCUCAUGCUUGCACAGCAAGCACCUUACCUACUAA
rnacentral:lncRNA from 1 species